UAAGUACUCCCUCCGUCCGGAAUUACUUGUCAUAAAAAUGGAUGUGUCUAGAACUAAAAUACAUCUAGAUACAUCCAUUUCAAUGACAAGUAUUUUCGGACGGAGGGAGUACAAG
rnacentral:pre_miRNA from 1 species